rnacentral:tRNA from 1 species
GGGGGCUCAGUGGUAGAGUGCUUGCCUUGCAAGCAUGAGGCCCUGGGUUCGAUUCCUCAGCACCA